rnacentral:rRNA from 1 species
GACGUAGGGCGCGAGCGUUGUCCGGAUUUAUUGGGCGUAAAGAGCUCGUAGGCGGCUUGUCGCGUCGUCCGUGAAAACCCACAGCUCAACUGUGGGCUUGCGGUCGAUACGGGCAGGCUAGAGUUCGGUAGGGGAGACUGGAAUUCCUGGUGUAGCGGUGAAAUGCCCAGAUAUCAGGAGGAACACCGGUGGCGAAGGCGGGUCUCUGGGCCGAUACUGACGCUGAGGAGCGAAAGCGUGGGGAGCGAACAGG